AAGGAGCCGGAUACAUGCAACAGGACGGAAAGACCCCAUGGAGCUUUACUGUAGCUUGACAUUUGGUCUUGGUACUACAUGUACAGGAUAGGUGGGAGGCUUUGAAACCAGGACGCCAGUUUUGGCGGAGCCAUCCUUGGGAUACCACCCUUGUAGUACUGGGACUUUAACCACAGGCCAUGAAUCUGGUCUUGGGACACUGUCAGGUGGGCAGUUUGACUGGGGCGGUCGCCUCCCAAAAGGUAACGGAGGCGCUCAAAGUUUCUCUCAGUACGGUCGGAAAUCGUACGUAGAGUGUAUAGGCAAAAGAGAGCUUGAUUGCAAGACAUACAGGACGAGCAAGGAUGAAUAUAGGACUUAGUGUUCCGGUGGUUCUACCUGGCAUGGCCAAUCCUCCACGACAAUAAGCCACUCUGACGAAUAAAGGAUUAUCACCACCAAAGACUCAACGUCGCAGGGGUGGU
rnacentral:rRNA from 1 species